rnacentral:lncRNA from 1 species
CUUUCUCCUUUGUGUCUCCUCCACCAAACUCUGCCCUUUUUCUGUACUUAACGAAUUCCUUGAGUUUACCUCGCUGUAACACUCCUCACACGCUUGUAAUUGUUUUCUGGCUAAACUGUGAGCUCAUAAUGUCCCUAGUGCUUAGCACAUAGGUGCCCUGGAAAUGGUAAAUGAUGAGACUCAGGGCUGUACCAGAACUCAAGCCUAAUGCUGUCUGCCAGGCUGUGCCACCUGU